rnacentral:pre_miRNA from 1 species
CAGGUACUCCCUCUGUCCGGAAAUACUUGUCCUCAAAAUGGAUAAAAUGAAUGUAUCUAUAACUAAAACAAGUCUAGAUACAACCAUUUCGAGGACAAGUAUUUUCGGACGGAGGAAGUAGCAA